rnacentral:lncRNA from 10 species
GUUCUGUACCUCUGCAAAGAUUUGUAUAUUCUUCCAUUGGUGGGUGAGGGGGCAGGAGGAAAUUCUCUGGGUAGGCUUACAAAAACAAGAUUUUUAAGCGCUUCUGAUGAUUCUGAGCUACAUUUCUGGACUGGAAUUUGAGUGUUUACGUCGCUGUUUCUUGGAUAAUUAAAGAGGUAUGUGUCUGUUUCAGAGAAUCUGCUCUCUUCUACCUUGCUUUAUUUGGGUGGUGUGACCUUGGCUCUUCUGUAUAUUCAUCCUGCCUGUCACUUUUCAGAACCGAGUAAGGCAGCACCAGUAAUAGUCACUUUGGACACAGAAUAUUUAAAAGUUUUGUGUUUUAUUUUAAAUUGGAGGCUCAAAUAUCAUUGUUUAUUUUCAGGGCAGCAAAGGACCAUAAGCAAUUCUCCAAUGGUGAAGAUCGACCCCAGUCAUGUAAAAACACAACAAGUCCUCCCAUUCUGACAGGGCCAUCAAUUACAAAGACAUGACUUGUUAACAUCAGAGAUGGGCACAUGACCAACUGACCAACCAGAAAACCUCAUCCCCUGGGAGAUGGAGGCAACACAUUUCACUUUUGCUUAAGAAGGAUCUUGCAGAAAGUGAAGAAGAGCAGGAAUAGAGAAGACAUUUGAAUGACGACUGAUGUUCUCUUCUUUGGCCUGAGGUUUUAGAACACAUUCACUGCCUGAUCACUGUGGCCCAGAAGCCAUGGCCUCUGCUGAGAGAUAGGGACCCCAUGUUCCCUCUACACAUCUUCUUCCCCAAAGCCUCUCUGAGGCUCCUAUGUUCAAAGAAACAGUCCUCUGGCAAUGGCCUGGUCCUUUCUGCCAUACCAAAGAAAGUUGUUUUUUGUUUUGAGCAAGAGAUCACUUCUGAUUUUCCUACCUUUGACAUGGACCAGACUAAUUGACAAAUUCUAGAAGGACAGACACUUCCAAACGUCUCUUGACAUACUGGCUUCACAAAGGUUAGGAAAGCUGUUAUGGGGAGGACGGAGCCUUUCUCCUCUUCCUGAGAACGUUUGAAGAAGAAAGGGGCUACUGAGAAGUCUGGUAGAUUCAGCAGCUAGUAAAUAUCGUGUCUAAAUGGGCAUCUUUUAUUAAACUCUGAGGCAGGGUUGGUGUGUUAGGCCAUUCUUUCUUGCUAUAAAGAAAUAUCUGAGACUGGGUAACUUAUAAAGAACAGAGGUUUAAUUGGCUCAUGGUUCUGCAGGCUGCACAGAAAGCAUAAUGACAUCUUCUUCUGGCUAGGCCUCUGGAAGCUUCCAAUGAUGGUGGAAGGCGAAGAGGGAACUUGCGCAUCACAUGGCAAAAGCAGGAGCAAGAGAGAGGCGAGGAGGUGCCGCACACUUUUAAAAGACCAGAUCUCAUGAAAACUCACUAUUGUGAGGACAGCACCAAGAGGAUCGUGCUAAAUUAUUCAAGAGAAAUCCUCCCCCAUGAUCCAGUCACCUCCCACCAGGCCCCACCUCCAACAUUGGGGAUUACAUUUCAACAUGAGAUUUGGAUGGAAACACAUUCAAGCUUUAUCAGCCCAGCUCCGGGAGUUCUUAAACUCAUAAGAAUCUAUGAGCUCCCAGAUUUAUGGGCCUUGAAAUAGACUUUAUUCUCCACUACCAUUUUUCGUUUGUAAUUUACAAGUGUCUUAUGGGAAGCGACAUUGAGGGUAUGUCUAGAGGGCAGCGUCAGGGAAGCCAGAGAUUCCAAGCACAAGAAAGAUUUGAUGCAGCCUUGGUGACUUGGAGAUGGAAGGGGCCAUGAGGCAAGGAAUGUAGACAACUGUAAGUGUUGAAAGUGGACCUCAGCUGGCAGCCAGUAAGAAAAGAGGAACCUUCAGGCUACAACCUCAAGGGACAGAAUUCAGCCAACAUCCAGAGUAAGUUUAGAAAUGGACUUUUCCUCGGCGCCUCCAAAUAAGAGUCCAUUCUGACCUCUGCAUUGAUUUUAGGCUUAUAAGAUUAAGCAGGUGAUCCAGCCACACGGUUCUGGUCUUCUGAGCUCCCGGAGAAAUGCAUGUUGUUUGAAGCUGCUAAGUUUGUGGCAAUAUGUUACUCAGCAACAGAAAACUAAUAUACUUGGAAUAGAAUAUUCACUGUGAAUGAAGGAAGUUUUGAGCUCUAUAAAAAUGGAAAACUUUUAUCUUACUCUCACUUCCAACUAAUUUCCCAGAUGCAUUAUCACUUCAGAACAUUCUGCAGGGUAUUGGCGAUGAUUUUUCUUCUUUAUAGAGAUCCAGUAUUAAGUUAGAGAAUAAAUAGUGGUAAUAAUAAUAAUUAAUAAUAAUAUAGAUAACAUUUUGAGCGUGUUUAUCAUGUGCUAGCAUUUUGCUAAACACUUUAUCUGCAUUCUCUCAUAUAAUUCCCACAAUGGUCAUUUUAAGACAGAGAUUAUUACUAUUUUCAUUUUGUGUUUUCGGAAUUAGAGAAUUGCAGACAUGUAUAAAUCUUCAUAUAUAAACCUGUGAUAUUGUGGUAUAAUGGGAAAUAUAUAUUUUGUUUCUGCUCCUGGUUCCUGGCACAAAGCUACUAAAACCCUUGUAGUUUCCUGACUAAUAGGGGUGCUAGGUAUAUCUUUGGUUCUGAUAUUGGGUCUUUGAUUCCAGUUCCUGACAUGGUGCUCAUAAUCCCUUAGAAUUUUCUGGGUGAUACAUGUGUCUUUUUUUCUAAGGAAGUGACUCUUGAUGGGCUACUGGAUUGGAGCUUGUCACCAGAAAGACCAAGCCAUGAUUAGAAGCUUGGAACUUUCAGCCUCAGCCCCUAUCCUCCAGGAAGCAGAGAGGGGCUGGAGAUUGUUAAUAAUCAAUCUUGCCUAUGUGAUGAAGCUUCCAUAAAAAUCCCUGAAUUCUGGGGUUCAGAGAGAUGCAAGGUUGCUGAACAUGUGGAGAUGCUAGGAGGGUGGUGCCCUGGAAAGAGCAUGGAGGUUCAAGAGCCCCUUUCCCCAUACCUUGCCCUGUGUAUCUCACCCCCUCUGGCUGUUAAUCUGUAUCCUUAGUAAUAUUCUUUAUGAUAAAAUGGCAAGUGUAAAUAAAGUGUUUCCCUGAAUCCUAUGAGCCACUCCAGCUAAUUAAGCAAACCUGAGGGGGUUCUAGAAAACACCAAUUUAUAGCCCAUCAGUCAGAAGUUCUAGAGGCCCAUACUUGUGAUUAGCAUCUGGAGCGAGGGGCAGUCUUGCGGUGCUGAGUCCUCACCUUGUGAGAUCUGACUCCAACUCCAGGUAGGUAUUGUCAGAAUCGAGUUAAAUUGUAGGACACCCCAUUAGUGUCCACUGGAGAACUGCUUGCAGUGUAAGGGGAAAAUCCCACAAAUCUGGUGUCAACAGUCUUGUAAUGUUUUGUUGAGAAUAUAAUAGAAGAUGCUUAGUUCAUCUGUUUGUUUGUUUACUAUCAUACAGAACCAAAAUCCAGGUCUGUCUGAUCUUAAACCCAUUUGCCUGGUGGAAAGUUAUGGAUGGUGCUCAGAGUUCACUGUUCUCUUUCUGUUUCAUAUGCUCAGGUGUGUUGCUAAACAUGAGAUGCUGGGAAACUGAAAGGAAUACGUAAGAAAGAUGGCAACAAUUAAAAAAUGCAGAAUGAGGUUGAUCUAAAAUAAAAGUUGACAACCAAUGAAAUGGAGUCCUUAAAAUUCAUUUUUCAUAGAAGAACAGAUAACGGAAUUACAUACUUAAGAUAAAUAAUUGCCUGGGCUUGGUUUACUGAGAUUUUUUAACUGUGUUUUAUAUUUGUGAUUUAAAAAACUAUCAGGGAAGC